rnacentral:rRNA from 1 species
AAACUCGCCUACAUGAAGCUGGAGUUACUAGUAAUCGCAGAUCAGAAUGCUGCGGUGAAUGCGUUCCCGGGUCUUGUACACACCGCCCGUCACACCAUGGGAGUUGGAAAUGCCCGAAGUCAGUGACCCAACCAAAAGGAGGGAGCUGCCGAAGGCAGGUUCGAUGACUGGGGUGAAGUCGUAACAAGGUAAC